GUCUACAGCCAUGCCACCCUGAACAAGCCCAAUAUCUGAUCUCAGAAGCUAAGCAGGGUUGGAUCUGGUUAGUACUUGGAUGGGAGACCACCUAGGAAGACCAGGUGCUGUAGGCA
rfam:Pteropus alecto contig32029, whole genome shotgun sequence.